ensembl:ncRNA lncRNA:CR45338 long non-coding RNA:CR45338
ACAGCCAGGAACGACAGGUGUAGAGGAGCGGCGCCCACGGACAGGUGAUGAGCUCGUGGCGGCCGGGUGUGGCAACUGAAAUCCACGUGAAAGCCAACACCUUGUCACCCGGCGACAUCGCGCACAAAAACCUUGGCUGCCACCCAAAAACCCUGCAUCCUGCAUCCCACAUCCCUUAUCCACACAUCAAAAGGACUCGGACGUGACAUGUGCUUAUAUAACUCCUGACGACCCAAAUAUCGGGCAACGCAGAUGGAAAACGACCGCGGUCAGCGGGAUCAUCGAGUUUCACAGAUAAAAGCUGAAGAUUCUGACACAGCAGGAUAUAUUUCGCGGGCCUAGAGAAUUACAAAACACUUAACUACCUGGU